rnacentral:rRNA from 1 species
AGAGUUUGAUCAUGGCUCAGAACGAACGCUGGCGGUAUGCUUAACACAUGCAAGUCGAACGAGUACGACCUAGCUUGCUAGGACCCAGCUAGUGGCAAACGGGUGAGUAACGCGUGGGAAUCUACCUAAUAGUUUGGAAUAGCAGCUGGAAACGGCUAUUAAUACCGUAUAAGCCCUCCGGGGGAAAGAUUUCUUGCUAUUAGAUGAGCCCGCGUUAGAUUAGCUUGUUGGUAGGGUAAUGGCCUACCAAGGCAAUGAUCUAUAGCUGGUUUGAGAGGAUGAUCAGCCACACUGGAACUGAGACACGGUCCAGACUCCUACGGGAGGCAGCAGUGAGGAAUAUUGGACAAUGGGCGAAAGCCUGAUCCAGCAAUACCACGUGACUGAAGAAGGCCUUAGGGUUGUAAAAGUCUUUCAGCAGGGAAGAUAAUGACGGUACCUGCAGAAGAAGCUCCGGUUAACUCCGUGCCAGCAGCCGCGGUAAUACGGAGGGAGCUAGCGUUGUUCGGAAUUACUGGGCGUAAAGCGCGCGUAGGCGGGUUUAAAAGUUGGAAGUGAAAUCCCGGGGCUCAACCUCGGAACUGCUUUCAAAACUAUAGACCUAGAGUUUGGCAGGGGAUAGUGGAAUUCCUAGUGUAGGGGUGAAAUCCGUAGAUAUUAGGAGGAACACCAGAGGCGAAGGCGACUAUCUGGACCAUUACUGACGCUAAGGCACGAAAGCGUGGGGAGCGAACGGGAUUAGAUACCCCGGUAGGUCCACGCCGUAAACGAUGGGUGCUAGAUAUUGGAGUAUUAACUUCGGUGACGAAGCUAACGCGUUAAGCACCCCGCCUGGGGAGUACGGUCGCAAGAUUAAAACUCAAAGGAAUUGACGGGGACCCGCACAAGCGGUGGAGCAUGUGGUUUAAUUCGAUGCAACGCGAAGAACCUUACCACCAUUUGACAUCCCUAUCGCGGAUUUCCGAGAGGAUUUCCUUCAGUUCGGCUGGAUAGGAUACACGUGCUGCAUGGCUGUCGUCAGCUCGUGUCGUGAGAUGUUGGGUUAAGUCCCGCAACGAGCGCAACCCUCACCCCUAGUUGCCAGCAGGUUAAGCUGGGCACUCUAUGGGAACUGCCGGUGACAAGCCGGAGGAAGGUGGGGAUGACGUCAAGUCCUCAUGGCCCUUACGGGCUGGGCUACACACGUGCUACAAUGGCGGAUACAGUGGGUUGCUACCUCGCAAGAGGAUGCUAAUCCCUAAAAUCCGUCUCAGUUCGGAUUGUUCUCUGCAACUCGAGAGCAUGAAGUCGGAAUCGCUAGUAAUCGUGGAUCAGCAUGCCACGGUGAAUACGUUCCCGGGCCUUGUACACACCGCCCGUCACACCAUGGGAGUUGGUUCUACCUUAAGCCGGUAAGUUAACUUUUAGAGACAGCCGUCCACGGUAGGGUCAGCGACUGGGGUGAAGUCGUAACAAAGGUAACC